rnacentral:tRNA from 1 species
CGCGACUAGCUCAGUUGGUUAGAGUACAAGCAUGACACGCUUGGGGUCUCUGGUUCGAUUCCAGAGUCGCGCAUACCA